CCUUUAGGUAUCAAUCUCUCCUACGCCCGGGUGCAUAAAUCCCUUCGUUAGUCAAUGACUAGGCUGGCGUAUCCUGUCUCGGCGUUAUCAUUUUUAUUCCUUUUAGGCCUGAAAGUUUUGGUAAUUUUAUGGUGGCCCUCAUAUUUUGUAAUUUUGGUAAGGACACCCCUAUUCUCUUCCAUUUAUACCACAUGUCUCCACCAGAAAACUCACCUCUAUAAUAUAUUCCCCCACUCUCUCUAUCUCUCAGCUCUGCAGCUGCUGCUUGACGCGCAUAUCGACCGGUUACCAACCAAACAACUGAUCUUCGAUCCCUCCAAUCCAUCUUUUGAUAUUUAAAAUAGCAUCCUUUAUCGGUGAGUAGAUGCGUGUAUUAAAUUUUAUUCUUAGGAUGUAGCGGGAAAGAUCUCUAUUAGAAACGCCUUUAAGAGUUUUAAUCCUUCCCCGAAGGAUGUUAAUGAUUUGCUAUUGACUCAUCCCGAGAGAAGUAAUCAGUCGAUAUGCGUGUCAACAGCAACUAGAGUGCUUUCCAGUGUCGUCCUAUGCCACCUCCAUGAUCCAUCUAGCGGUACUAUGAUAUAUGAGGAGGAUAUCAAUAUAAGAACCCUCAUUGAGACGGUGAGACUCUCAUCAAUGGCCAAACCGAACAAGGCACGUUUUUUGACGGGAGAGUUGCAGAACUACCCAUAGCAGCUAACCCGUUCAAGUAUAUACUUCAAUCCUCGUUUCAUUUUAGGAGUUUGUAGGACUACGAUCAAUGAAGGAACAAUCUGUUAUACCAUGAGUGACUGAUGGAAGCAAGAGAGAGAGAGAGAGAGAGAGAGAAAACAUUACAAAUAGGAUAUAAUCCAAGCAUAUGAAAUCGGGGAAUUACAUAUAUUAUCCAAAUGUUAUGAUAUCUCUCAUUUGCUUCCAUUAAUCAUCCACAUGUAGAUAUGAAUGAGACCAUAUGUUGCCUUCACUCAUUACUUAGGAAAACAUCAUGUAAUUUUGGCUUUUCUCUUGUAUAAUGAUUCAGCCCUCUCUCUGUCUUUUUUUGAUGGUUGCUCUCUCUCUCUCUCUCUCUUGUAUAGUGAGUCGGCCCUAUACAAUUUGAGUCAUACCAUA